AGAUAAUGUGAAUAGCUGUAAAAUUCUUCCUUAUUACUCAAUUUUUCAUCCAGAUGAAGAUUCUGUAGAGGAUACAAAUGAGGAACUCUUGUAAACACACAAAACAGGAGCCCAAUUAUGUACAUUUAAGUGUCUAAGAUGAUUGAGAGCCUAAAUGGAAGUCAUACUUUUCAACUAUAGUGGAACCUACACUUAAAAAGGCAGCAGAAGGAUAAUAGAGGCAUCAAUGCAAGUGACAAUAUUAUCUUUUAUUACUAAGAAAUGGGAGCCUAUGAAAGAAAUCCUGGAGUUUAAAUGUAGAAUGGAUUCUCUUGACACAUUAUAGAAAAAAUCUUCAUUAUUGACUCUGGUCCUUCAGUGAAGAAGAAAGUUUGAAGGAAAAAUUUUCUAAUGAAUCACCAACUCAGGAUGAAUGUCACUCUGGUUGUGUGAAUUAUAACAAAAAAUAUUUUCAUCUUGCAUUGUAAGAAAUAUU
rnacentral:lncRNA from 1 species